rnacentral:rRNA from 1 species
UGCGUAGGCGGCUUUGCAAGUCAGAUGUGAAAUCUAUGGGCUCAACCCAUAAACUGCAUUUGAAACUAUAUUUCUUGAGUGCAGGAGAGGAAAGUGGAAUUCCUAGUGUAGCGGUGAAAUGCGUAGAUAUUAGGAGGAACACCAGUGGCGAAGGCGACUUUCUGGACUGUAACUGACACUGAGGCUGAAAGCCAGGGUAUGAACG